CUACGGGGGGCUCCAGUGGGGAAUAUUGCACAAUGGGCGCAAGCCUGAUGCAGCCAUGCCGCGUGUAUGAAGAAGGCCUUCGGGUUGUAAAGUACUUUCAGCGGGGAGGAAGGGAGUAAAGUUAAUACCUUUGCUCAUUGACGUUACCCGCAGAAGAAGCACCGGCUAACUCCGUGCCAGCAGCCGCGGUAAUACGGAGAGUGCAAGCGUUAAUCGGAGUUACUGGGCGUAAAGCGCACGCAGGCGGUUUGUUAAGUCAGAUGUGAAAUCCCCGGGCUCAACCUGGGAACUGCAUCUGAUACUGGCAAGCUUGAGUCUCGUAGAGGGGGGUAGAAUUCCAGGUGUAGCGGUGAAAUGCGUAGAGAUCUGGAGGAAUACCGGUGGCGAAGGCGGCCCCCUGGACGAAGACUGACGCUCAGGUGCGAAAGCGUGGGGAGCAAACAGGAUUAGAUACCCGAGUAGUC
rnacentral:rRNA from 1 species